ensembl:lncRNA
ACAAGCUCCCUGGAUUGCCAGGACUAGUGGUGACACGCGCCAGACAAAGGAACUGCUACUCUAUAAAUGAGGCAGCCAGGACCAGCGCUAGGCUGCCUCCAGCAAGAGCAAGCUCUGUGGCCAGGCACUGGAAAAGCAGUCGGGAAAGAAUCACAGGAAGCGCCUGAUUUUGCUGCCUGUUCGCCCCCUGACCGGGUUUCCAGAGGUACGAGUUCCAGAAAAAAAAUCUGAAAGGAGACAGGACCUGACCUUCUGCAGGAAGACUGGAAAAGAAGGAGGGCAACCAGAGUGACGAAGCUGGAAGGCACACAAAGGUAAAAGUGGGGCCUGAGUACAUAAGCAUUGAUUUAAGGCAUUCACUAGUAAGGUGACAAAAAUGGAAUGAAUAGCCAGAUUCUCAGAGACAGACAGGAGAGUGACAGGUGUACUAAGCCAUGAAUAAAUGCUGAGGAUGGCAAAGUGAAAGCAAGAAAACCAGGCAAGAUGUAGGGAGUGACACUGAAAGAAGUAUGCAGUGUUGAUGAAUAUAUGGUGCUGGUGAGAGAUGAAACAGGAAAACAGGAAAAUGUACUAGAAGAUCAAAGUAAGCAACUUGAUUGGGAUAAAAGACUGUUGGAAAACAAGGAAACAAGGCAAAAAACUGUAGACCAGAGCAAGAAUUUGUUUGGAAGGAGAUAGAUAGCAGUGUGGCACAUAGCUACAAAUCACAAAUGUGGCAGGAUGAGAGCGGACAAUGGAAAUGUCCAUUUCCAUAAUGCGAUGAAGAUUACUAUUUUCACCUGACUUCAUUUUGAUGCACAGACUUGAGGUUGAGAGAUCUUCUUAGAAGUUAAAAAACUUAACCUAGUAAUUAAUAAAAAAACAUUAUUUCUAAUUCCCUGAUUUGGGGAAGAAGAGGAAGAGUUUUGAGGCACACUGAUGAAAGAAGUCGUCCUUUUUUCCCCUAAGGUGCCAUUUUUGAACUCCAGGCUGCUGCCUGUAGGACCCCAAAAAACAUUACAAAAUAAAACACAAAAUAAACAUAUCCAACAUUAAGUAGCAACUUCAGCAGCUAUACUUCCAUGGUAAGUACACAGAUUUUUUUUUUUUUUCCAAAAAUUAGGAUAAUUCUACUGAAAAGUACCAGGGAGAAUGUGCAAGUUGGGUAGCUAUUCAGCAGGUGUUUACAGUGGGGUUUUUAAGGUCAGGAUAACAUUCCUUGGGCAAGAGAGUCAGUUCAGGCUUAUGCUUUGAUUUCAUAUUGAGCUUUCCACUCAUAUAACACAGCAGUUCAUCCUUAAAAUUCUUAUAUACACACACCAUGCUGCUCGGGUUUCAUUAUUAGCCUGCUCCCAAUAAAUGAAGGGCCACCCGUUCUUCCAAUUUAAAAUCAGCAAAACACAAAAAAUUGUUUCACACACAUAUAGACAAGUGUACCUAGCUUACACACUAAGACCAUCAGCUCACACUGUCACAGUUCUCUCAGCAUCUGCAUACUUGACUCAAGGAUAAGCCAACUCAUGAACAGGAGUUUCAUGUUUCAGAUGAUAUGAAACAUCCCCUGCUGUCUUUAAAUUCUUGCUGAGAUAUUCAGGACAGCUAAAAAUUUGUGAUCAAAUUUUAAAUUUUCUUAUUUGUUACUCUACUUCUAUUACACAGAGUGUAUUCUGUGGUCUGAUUUUUCUCUGGUGGCUUCCUCUGUUCUCUGCUCUGCUGUUACCCUGAACACACAGGAAUCUCUCCCUGGUCACCAGCAAAAUUAGAGAAACUGCUGCUCUUAUUUCC